rnacentral:rRNA from 1 species
UUGACCUGCGGAGGUCAUUAGUGAAAGAAAUUGUUUCCACUCAAUAAGGAAGAGUUUGUCAACCUAGUUGGGAAGCUCUUUUGGAUGGAGUGAUCACAAACUACUUCCCACAUCCAUAACACCUGUGAACUGGAAGAUGUGGUGAUUUCGAUCCCCAUCUGCCCCCUAAUUAAACAUUUANUAGUAACGAAAGUACUAUUAUUAUAAUCUAAUAAAACUUUCAACAACGGAUCUCUUGGCUCUCGCAUCGAUGAAAAACGCAGCGAAAUGCGAUAAGUAAUGUGAAUUGCAGAAUUCAAUGAAUCAUCYAAUCUUUGAACGCACCUUGCGCUCUAUGGUAUUCCGUAGAGCAUGCCUGUUUGAGUGUCAUGAAAACAAUCAACCUUGACUUUGGGUAACCCUAAAGACAAGGAUUGGACUUGGGUGUUUGCCAGUGCUUUAUGUGGCUCAUCUUAAAUAUAUUANCUGGACUCAUUGAAAGACAGGUUUGACUUGGCGUAAUAMCUAUUUCCCUWAMGACACUCUUUGGAGUGGCCAGUCUUCAAAUANCANUCANCUUUCUAACCCAUGAUUCUCCUUGGAGACAUGAAUUUUCAUUAUUUGGCCUCAAAUCAGGUAGGACUACCCGCUGAACUUAAGCAUAUCAAUAAGCGGAGGAAAAGAAACUAACAAGGAUUCCCCUAGUAACGGCGAGUGAAGCGGGAAGAGCUCAAAUUUGAAAUCUGGUGGCCUCAGGUCAUCCGAGUUGUAAUCUAUAGAAACAUUUUCCGUGCUGGCUCAUGUACAAGUCCCUUGGAACAGGGCGUCAUAGAGGGUGAGAAUCCCGUCCUUGACAUGAAUCACCAGUGCUYUGUGAUAUGUUUUCAACGAGUCGAGUUGUUUGGGAAUGCAGCUCAAAAUGGGUGGUAAAUUCCAUCUAAAGCUAAAUAUUGGCGAGAGUCCGAUAGCGAACAAGUACCGGGAGGGAAAGAUGAAAAGCACUUUGGAAAGAGAGUUAAACAGUAUGUGAAAAUGUUGAAAGGGAAACGAUUGAAGUCAGUCAUGUCCUUGGAAUUCAGCUGGUUAUGCCAGUGUAUUUUCCUUGGAUGGGGUCAACAUCAGCUUUGACUGGUGGAUAAAGGUCAGAGGAAUGUACCACUCUCGGGUGAACUUAUAGCCUUUGAUUGCAUACAGUGGUUGGGACUGAGGAACGCAGCUUGCCUUUAUGGCCAGGAU